UACGUAGGGUGCAAGCGUUAAUCGGAAUUACUGGGCGUAAAGCGCGCGCAGGCGGUUUUUCAAGUCAGUGGUGAAAGCCCGGGAGCUCAACUCCGGAACUGCCAUUGAAACUGUGAAACUCGAGGAUGAGAGAGGUGAGUGGAAUUCCCAGUGUAGGAGGUGAAAUUCGUAGAUAUUGGGAAAGAACACCGGUGGCGAAGGCGGCUCACUGGCUCAUUUCUGACGCUCAGGCGCGACAGCGUGGGGAUCGAAAACAGG
rnacentral:rRNA from 1 species